rfam:Angiostrongylus cantonensis strain Taiwan genome assembly, scaffold: ACAC_contig0012216
GCUCGGUUAGCUCAGUAUGUAGGGCACCAGACUCCUAAUCUGGUUGUCACGAGUUCGAGCCUCGCAUCGGGCU